rnacentral:misc_RNA from 1 species
GAGUAAGGGUUAUUCGUAGCCCGACCUCCAACCCUCUGUUGUUAUAACUACCCCGUUGCUUUGGCGGGACCGCUCGGUCCCGAGCUGCCGGUCUUAGGCCCGGCAAGCGCCCGCCAGAGUCUACUCAAACUCUUGUUUUAACCGGUCGUCUGAGUUAAACUUUUAAUUAAAUUAAAACCUUCAACAACGGAUCUCUUGGUUCU